rnacentral:misc_RNA from 1 species
UUUUUUUUUUUUUUUAUUUUGUUUCAAAUUUAACAUACUUCACUUGGGUUAAGGCUUAGUUGUUGUAUGCUAAUUGUAUUUACUUGGCUCAUUUGGAAUAAUGCUCUAUAUUUGCAUUAUAAUUUCCUUUCUCUACUGUUGGUAAUUUUGUAUCAGAUAUUUAAUUAGAGCCUUACAUCUUCAGAUGCUUGAAAUCAAACUGCAAAUAAUAUAUAAAAGGGUAGUUCAAUCCCCAUCUCUUGCGAGUUGCAUUGGUGUGGUGGUUCUUUUAAAACUGUGUUUGUUAUGAUGUCUGUUAAUAGUAGUGGUAGUAGUAGUGGUAGUGGUAGUGGUAGUGGUAGUAGUUUUUUGAUUUAUUCAAACAUAACUUUAGAUUUGCAGGGUGUAAGAAAAGAAAUAGUAGUAGUCCUCUUUCUAGGUUGCCAAGAAUGAAUUCUCAGAAGUUUCCCCAGGCGCCUUUGAUAUAUACCACACUUAAAAGUCAUACGCGCAUGAGACACACAGAGGUGCACAUUCAUGCGAAACAUAUAAUUGCUCCCUAUAGCCUAUUUGCACCAAGUACUUCCAUGUUAUGGAUUUUUUUGCUGUGAAGCACUGCUCCUGAAGUAUUCUUUUAGUUGAAAGCCUCUUUAUCAUCUUAUUAUUUGCCAUGUUAACUUGCUUUAUCAUGGCAAAUGUUGAGUUUCAUGUUCUAAUCUGCAUAAUGUGUACGCGGGGUUCAAAUUAUUUCUUUACUCUAAUUUCUGUUAUUUUUAAUAUGACUUUUCAUUAUGCCAGACCUGGACUUUUUGUUCCACA